CCAAUAGCGUAUACUAAAGUUGUUGCAGUUAAAAAGCUCGUAGUUGAAUUUCGGGGUCAGCAAGUUGGUCGUGCCACUGGUAUGUACUGGCUUUGCUGAUUCCUCCUUCUUGUAGAACCGUAAUGCCAUUAAGUUGGUGUUGCGGGGAAACAGGACUGUUACUUUGAAAAAAUUAGAGUGUUUAAAGCAGGCUAACGCUUGAAUACAUUAGCAUGGAAUAAUGAAAUAGGACGACGAUCCUAUUUUGUUGGUUUCUAGGAUUGACGUAAUGAUUAAUAGGGAUAGUUGGGGGCAUUAGUAUUCAAUUGUCAGAGGUGAAAUUCUUGGAUUUAUUGAAGACUAACUACUGCGAAAGCAUUUGCCAAGGAUGUUUUCAUUAAUCAAGAACGAAAGUUAGGGGAUCGAAGACGAUCAGAUACCGUCGUAGUCUUAACCAUAAACUAUGCCGACUAGGGAUCGGAUGAUGUUAAUUUUAUAAUGACUCAUUCGGCGCCUUACG
rnacentral:rRNA from 1 species